AUACUGUCUCCAGCAUCCUUGGGCAUGUGAGAGUCUGCAUCUUAAGGAGUUUGGCUUCCUACCUUGCUCGCCAUUUAUGAAUUCCCACAGCAGUCCUGAUGGAGUUCUGGUGGAGUGAUCGGGUGAGCAAGGCAUAGGCAGCCCAGCUACCUCAUGCCACACACUCUUCAGAGAGAAGGAAGUGGGCGCAGAGGUCUGCCCAUGAAGAGAUCCCACCCAUGGAUUGGACACUGUCAAAGUGGGGAGGUUUGGAAAAAAAUCAGAUGUGGAAAUAUAAACAGCCAGCAUUCCAAAUUCCCUCUGUGUUGUGCACUUGUCCUCUCGUGUGCUCUCUUAAAAAGACUCUCAAACUCCAUCUUCUCAAGGACAUUCAAGGUCAAACAAUGAAUGUGCUUCUGCUCAAAGUGGCUCCAUCACCUUUGUCUCUCCCCGACGUAGGCUGGAUUCCGAGUCACUGUGUGGACGCAACUGUCAGCAAAAUCAACUUCGCAAAGGACUUUCUGUAAGGAACCCAACCUCAGCAGACGAAAACUGUCUCUGACCAGGGAAAGCAGGGAAUCACUUCCGCUCAUGGGCGGCGCUCCAAGAGGAAGUCGAGUGCAUAACAGAUGGCCAAGUUUCCCUGUUCUAGUCUUGAGAUGAAGCAAGCGCUUUGUCGAG
ensembl:antisense Gm16277 predicted gene 16277